rnacentral:rRNA from 1 species
GAUGAACGCUGGCGGCGUGCUUAACACAUGCAAGUCGAGCGAUGAAGUUUCCUUCGGGAAACGGAUUAGCGGCGGACGUGUGAGUAACACGUGAGUAACCUGCCUCAUAGAGUGGAAUAGCCUUCCGAGAGGAGGAUUAAUACCGCAUAAUGUUGAAAGAUGGCAUCAUCAUUCAAUCAAAGGAGCAAUCCGCUAUGAGAUGGACUCGCGGCGCAUUAGCUAGUUGGUGGGGUAACGGCCUACCAAGGCGACGAUGCGUAGCCGACCUGAGAGGGUGAUCGGCCACAUUGGGACUGAGGCACGGCCCAG